rnacentral:rRNA from 1 species
UACGUAGGGGGCAAGCGUUGUCCGGAAUCAUUGGGCGUAAAGAGCGCGUAGGCGGCCCGGUAAGUCCGCUGUGAAAGUCAAGGGCUCAACCCUUGAAUGCCGGUGGAUACUGUCGGGCUAGAGUCCGGAAGAGGCGAGUGGAAUUCCUGGUGUAGCGGUGAAAUGCGCAGAUAUCAGGAAGAACACCCGUGGCUAAGGCGGUUCUCUAGUACGGUACUGACGCUGAGACGCGAAAGCGUGGGGAGCGAACAGG